GAUGAACGCUAGCGGCAGGCCUAAUACAUGCAAGUCGAACGGUGUAGCAAUACAUUAGUGGCGCACGGGUGCGUAACGCGUAUGCAACCUACCUUCAUCAGGGGGAUAACUACCCGAAAGGGUGGCUAACACCGCAUAAUACUAUUGAGUGGCAUCACUUGAUAUUUAAAUCUGAGGAGGAUGAAGAUGGGCAUGCGUCUGAUUAGCUAGUUGGUGUGGUAACGGCGCACCAAGGCGACGAUCAGUAGGGGAACUGAGAGGUUGGUCCCCCACACUGGCACUGAGAUACGGGCCAGACUCCUACGGGAGGCAGCAGUAGGGAAUAUUGGUCAAUGGUGGGAACACUGAACCAGCCAUUCCGCGUGCAGGAAGAAGGGUCUCUGACUUGUAAACUGCUUUAGCAAGGGAAGAAAAAGCUCAUGCGUGAGAAAUUGACGGUACCUUGAGAAUAAGCACCGGCUAACUACGUGCCAGCCGCCGCCGUAAGAC
rnacentral:rRNA from 1 species